rnacentral:rRNA from 1 species
AUUGAACGCUGGCGGCAUGCCUUACACAUGCAAGUCGAACGGCAGCGCGGGGCAACCUGGCGGCGAGUGGCGAACGGGUGAGUAAUAUAUCGGAACGUACCCUGGAGUGGGGGAUAACGUAGCGAAAGUUACGCUAAUACCGCAUACGAUCUAAGGAUGAAAGUGGGGGAUCGCAAGACCUCAUGCUCCUGGAGCGGCCGAUAUCUGAUUAGCUAGUUGGUGGGGUAAAGGCCUACCAAGGCAUCGAUCAGUAGCUGGUCUGAGAGGACGACCAGCCACACUGGGACUGAGACACGGCCCAGACUCCUACGGGAGGCAGCAGUGGGGAAUUUUGGACAAUGGGGGCAACCUGAUCCAGCAAUGCCGCGUGAGUGAAGAAGG